GCGGAUAUGGCGAAACUGGCAGACGCGCUGGAUUUAGGUUCCAGUGGGGCAACCCGUGCAGGUUCAAGUCCUGUUAUCCGCA
rnacentral:tRNA from 1 species